rnacentral:SRP_RNA from 1 species
AGGGGCUCGUGGGUUCGAAUCCCACUCUCUCCGCCAAUAGGUUUUGGGCGUGUGCACGAACAAGUCACUGGCUGGAUGGUGUUUUGCGGCCAGGGACCAAACCGGGUCCUACGCGACGGGAACUUCCGAAUCGUGUCAGGUCCUGACGGAAGCAGCACUAAGGAUGACCUCCUGGGUGACGUAGGGCAACCUAGUUUGGUUCUUGGUCGGAAAAUGCGAAUCCGGCUUUUUUGUUGCCCAU